UACGGGGGGGGGCAAGCGUUGUUCGGAAUUACUGGGCGUAAAGGGCUCGUAGGCGGCCUGCUAAGUCGGACGUGAAAUCCCCAGCUUAACCUGGGAACUGCAUCCGAUACUGGAUGGCUUGAAUCCGGGAGAGGGAUGCAGAAUUCCAGGUGUAGCGGUGAAAUGCGUAGAUAUCUGGAGGAAUACCGGUGGCGAAGGCGGCAUCCUGGACCGGCAUUGACGCUGAGUGAGCGAAAGCCAGGGGAGCAAACGGG
rnacentral:rRNA from 1 species